rnacentral:sRNA from 1 species
AUAAUCUAAUCGCUGAAUUUCCGUCAAGGAAAGCGGGGGAACCGAAUGGUGAAGCUGCUUUGGUGUGAGAGCCGGAGCAAGCGUCACCUGGGGUGAAUCCCGAAGCAGAGCGUCAGGGAGUCUCUGUUUUGGGUAGGGCGUCUCUCACCGCCCGAAUCCGUCAGCUAACCUCGUAAGCGUCUGUGGGGAGGGUGA